ACCAAGUCAACCUGCUGAUUCACUAUGGACCUUACGACUCAAAUAGACAAAAUAUAUAAAUGAGAGAAAAGAGGAUGUGAUGGGGAGAUAUCGAAGGAUGCCAUCGCUGGGAGAGGAGAGGCAGCAGCGUCUGAGCACAACGACAUAUGGACUCAGCAGGAGUCUGGCUGGCAUGGCGAUGCUGAGAGCCACAGGAGCAGGUCUGGGACUGCUCCGGGACCGUCCAAUAAAUCGACUGAGCAACUCCUCCUUCCACUCCCGCCUGUGGGACCAAUCCUGACACACUCACCGCCAGUGCAGCACCAGGGAAUUGUGGGUUCCUUUUGCCUGAGGAGACCAAUCUGUCUGCACGCACAUCCUACAAGCAUCGGAGCAGAAAAGUGUGUGUGUAUGAGUCUGUGUGUAUGUGUAUGUGCGCACUACGGCCCCUCUCGCCCCAGGGCAGCUGUGACCACUGCACUGGGCGGGUGGUCCCAGCAGGAGAGCGGUGCACUCACUUUAACUUGGGGGAAUUAGAGUCAUUACAACAGAAGGGCACUAGAGGACAAGUGCUUCAGCGGACAGAGGAGGGACAAGCUGAGGGACAUAUCAGAUCAAUCAGAGACACGUUUAAUCAGACUCUUGUAAAACAUCAUAUGCAGAGCGAGGGUGCAAUUAUACACUUCAUUAUAUGUUACAUCUGACUGUCAUUGCCAUCAGUGUUAAUUCUAUGGGCACAGGUUAGUAUUAUGAAAGCCCUUGACUCUCACAUGGAUUAGAUCUAUGAUAUAGUGUAAUUAUCCCUGUGUUCUGAUGUAUUUAAAGGGCCCAUAUUGCACAAAUUUAAAAUCUAUGUUAUAAUGUUGUUUCCUCAUCACAAACAUAUCUGGAGUUGUGUUUUGUUUCAUUCACACAUUUAACACACAACUGCAAAUUUAGGCAGUGUUCUUCUCUCAAACUGAGAACACUCUCUUCCACCUUGUGAUCUCAUGUGGUAAUACAGGAAGUGCUCCACUGUGUAUUUAAACUCCAUAGGCCUUCACUACAACCAUUUGGAUAAUUUCAGCGUUGGAACUGUCAAUCUCUCUUAAACUAGGUAAAAGGUACAAUAGCAGUUAAGUUGAAAACUAUAUCACCACAUGACAUCACAAGGUGGAACAGAGCAUUUUGAGCUUUGGAGAUGAAGACAGACUAAUAAUAAAGGGUUACUCAAAAUAUGUAAGUAUGAAACAAAACACAACUCCAGGUAUGUUUUGAUGAGACCUUUUAAAUGGCUGAUCAAGUGUUAUGAUUGACUUGAUGAUAAAUGAAUCAAUCUUCUUCUAUGCCAGUUGAUCCUAAUUAUGACUCUUAAUUGCUGAAUGUCCUGUACUUUUCAUAAUUUAUGAACCACGCAAUUACCAAAAUUUCAGUCCUCAACUUGUAGUUAGAUCUCUGUACAUUUUUUUUUUUUUAUUGAGAAACAUCUUGUAUUCCCAGUGUAUUUAUUGCUGAGGAGUAAUGCUUGUCAUAAGAGAGACACAGACACCAAUACAAUAUUUUAUGAGUCGACAGCGAAUGGGAUUCAGGAGGCAUCACACAUCUUGUUUUAUCAUCUAUUUCUUAUUGUGGCACUUCCAUAAAAAUGAAACAUGAUAUGAUUGGAUGUUACCUCUGCUAUAGAUAACAACAAUAUAUUCCUCUUUUUGUAUUCCAGUCUGCAGAAUUUCAUUAUAACCAAAGGUUUCUGUGCAAAGAAUAGCAGAUUCUAAUUUUCAAUGAUUUUCUGUGGAUGUUAAGAGUCAAUUUAAACCAGUUUUGUUUUAAACUAAAAUUGUAUCCGAACAUUGACCCCAUUAGGAGGUGCUGUAUCUUUGUAAGUGGUUUCUCAUAUGUUUAAAUGACCACGUCUUUGAGCGCUGUCAAUUCAUUAACUUUCUGGGCCAGACUAUACGCAUUUCAUUAUCUUUAAUAGAGCAGAGUCCGGCUAAAACCCAGGCAUUUGGACAGUAAUUAUAUGCUUUUUGAAUAAGGUCGGAUAGAAAAUAGAGGUGAAUAAGCACUUGUCAUUUGUUAACCCUGACGCAUAAAAAGUACUGCUCAAAAGUAUUUUAAGAAAGUCAAACCAAAAUAAUAUAAAUGCUUCUUUUUUAUGACUGAAAAACAAAACUAAAACUAUAUUUAAUACCAUAUACCUCAGACAAGGCACUGGUCUUAUCUUGCAACAGUGCUAAUCUAGGAAUAGGAACAAGAAAAUGCACUCAGACACAUUAGAUGCCUUUGAAGGUCCUAUAUUGUAUCAAAUUGACUCUAAUGCUGGUACCUCAUCAAAAACAUUCCUGAGGUUGUGUUUUGUUUCAUUCAUACAUGUUUGAGUAAUCCUGUAUUAUUAGCCUGUCUACUAGCCCGUUUCAUCAGCCGGUUUCACUCUGUUUCACUUCGUAGAAAUCGUCUGACCUCACAGUGUUAGAAUUCGUUGGCUCAAUGGUAGGCGGGUACUUUUUAUCAUUUAACCAUUUGCUGCUAUUUGGUCGUGAUGUAUGUAAUGCAUCACUAAUGGGGCUAACUGGUAUUAAAUUUUUCCCACAUCCCGAACGAAGACGGGCAAUAAGACGGGCCUUUCCCCUUGAUGAAAUUCACCAAACAUUCUCUUUAUUCUGGCUUUAAAUCCUUGAUCUCUGGAAUCGCUGACAACACUGAAUAUAGGGCUCUUCGCUGAUUGGCUGGUGCCCGAACUUGCACUUCCGGGGUUUUUGCGAACCAUCUAUUGUAUUUUGAUUCCUGACCUAGUUGCUGGAGAGAAAUGAAUUUGAGCUGAGGCACUAGGUGGUGCCAACCGGGUUACCUGUCUACAUCUCUAAAGCUCAAAAUGCCUUUGUAAUGUCAUGAAGAGGUAAUUUUCAAGUUAACAGCUACCUUUUAUCUUUAGUUCAGUACAGAUUGGCAAUUCCAGGACUGAAAUCAUCCAGAUGAUUCUAUUGAAGGUGUGUGGAAAUUAAAAACACAGUGGAGUUCUUUCUGUAUAACACAUGACAUCGCAAGACCGAACAGCGUGCUUUCAGUUUGAGAGAAGAACUCUCUCUAAAUAUGCAGGGUUUGUGUUAAACAUGUGUGAAUGAGCUAAAACACAAUUCCAGGUUGUUUUUGAUGAGAGAAAAACAUUAUAACAUAUUAGAAAAUUGUACGGCAAAUUAUUAAAUAAUAAAUAAUGGUAAUUGUGUCAAAAUAUGAUGAUGAUGAUGAUGAUGAUUAUUAUUAUUAUUAUUAUUAUUAUUAUUAUUAUUAUUUUCAGUCAGUUUCAUGAAUUGUCUUAGAAAUCACUACUCUUAUUUUAUCUUCCUAAAACGCCUCAAAUAUACACAAUAUACAGUCAACUAGAACAAUUAAAACUGAAGAUGGGAGAUCACAGCUAUAAUGAAAAUGCAGAGUGUUGCUUUUCUUCUAACAAAUCACUUUUUCUCACUUUUUCCUUGAGCCUGAAAUGGAAAUUUACCCAUUAACUUACAAAUGAGAGUCUUUGUUUCAUUAGACCAGCAGCACAUAGCAAAUGAAUCCACCAUCCAUGUUGUUUUUGUCCCACUAAAAUUAAUAGAAAAUCUGAGUGUGUAAAUUAGGAACAAGUUUUAUGAUUAUACAGAAAAAAGUAAAAUUGUAUUCAUGUUGCAUCACGUUGAAGAAGCACUAAUGGCACUUUAAUUAGGCUUUAAUGUGCAGACCCCUCCCCCUCCAUCUCCCCUCUCUGUAAGCACCCAUGUGCACAGAGGAUACAGGACAAUUGUGCUCAAAUCAUUUACUGUGAGCAAUUUAUCAGUCGGUUCAGGUAAAUGGGAAAGGUGAAAUGACUCAUGCAAAUAUAUUGUGUGGUUAUGUCAGUUAUUGUGAUCAGUUCAGACCUGGUUGGGUAAGGAGUAUGGCAAAGAAAAUGAACAAUUAAGACGCAAUAAUUGUAAGAAACUGUUCCAAGUGUGACAAUAACAUGGUGAAAGGAAAUGGGAAAACAAAGUACACACUGUAAUUAACUAACUAAGGUAAUCGGGUGAUUGCCUAUUAUGUAUCUUCUGCUUUACAAAUGCCACCAGAUACAAGCUAGUGGAGAUCAGGAAGGGCAUCUGGCUGAAAAACAUAUGUGCCAAUGGUAUAGCAGCUCCAUAUAUUCUUACUGUUUAUGACUCUGUAUUAUCUGUGCUUCUGGAAUAUUUUCUUUGUAAAAUUCUGCAUUCAGUUCUCAUAGCUUGCAUUUAGCUUGCACCUGCCAGAGACUCAUUGUGGUCCUGCUGCUUUAGCCCCAUCAGCUGAGCACAGGGACAGGUUCAGACAGGUGCAAGCUCCUGUGAGGCGGUAGACUGAACACAAACCUCCCUGAGCUCCUGAUGCUGCACACUGCUUAAUGUGAGGCCACAUUAUCUACGCACCUGUCUCCAAAACAUGCUACGCAGGCUCAAAUUACCAGUUUAAUUAGUAAAACCAACAUGAGUGGAAAUUAAACAUAUUUAAGAAGCUGGUAUUUUUGUCAUUUAAAAGUAGAUCAUUUUACUUGUUUAGGAUCGGAUAUGACAUGAGAAUUUAGUUUUAAAUGUAUUUUAAAGGCAAUUUUAGUCAUUUAAAAGGCAUAAUAAAAUGGAAAUGAAAAUCAAAUUAAUUAUCAUGAAGAAAGGCAUACUUUAUUAAGGUUAAUAAGGUGUAGUUGUAAUGUAGUAAAGUGUACACAUUUUACUGCCUACUAUACCUCUGGCAUUUGGACAUAUUUUGUGACCUACAUGUGUAGCACUGGGGCAUUUCAAAAUGGUUUAGUUCUUUCACUCUUUGAGGAAUUUUCCUGCUAGAAUUGUAAGCAGUUCUCCCAUCCCAUAGCUUUCUCUCUUCUCUAAUUUUGCCAAACAUUGACUAAUUAUGGCCUUUGCCUCAUUAAGACGCAGAGGAGGGAGACUCAGACUGCUCCAGAUGUGUAAAGCCUGCAGGUCCAGUCACUGCCACUCUCUCUCAUGUUGUGUGUGUUUGAAAACUCCAUAAAACUGUGUUGCUGUAGUUCCUGUUUGUCUCAGGGCAUUUGUGAGUGCUCCACUGGCCCACUUUUGCUUCUGCACUGAAGUAAGUUUGGAGGCUGUCAUGUGCUCAGACGGAACACUAGAUGGGGAUGGUGCCAUCUUCAUCACUCACCUGAACAACUGCUGAUGCUGUCCAAGUGCCAAGGCACCUGUCAAAACAAAUGCAGGACACAACAUUUGCGUGAUGUAUGGAGAGACAAACUUUGUUUAAACACCAUUCUAUAUAAGUUUGGUUGAAGACAGAAGUUCCCAUAUGCCCUAUUUCUAUGUUUCCCAUAUACUGUAAGAUGAUGCAGUUAACUUUAGGUGAACAUGUUUGUGCUCUGGAAAUCUGAGGCUUUGUUCAAAUGCUAUUUACCAAUCCAUAAAGAAACAAACUGACAUAAUUCGUCUAGCAA